rnacentral:rRNA from 1 species
CCUACGGGUGGCAGCAGUGAGGAAUAUUGGUCAAUGGACGCGAGCCUGAACCAGCCAAGUAGCGUGAAGGAUGACUGCCCUACGGGUUGUAAACUUCUUUUAUAAAGGAGUAAAGUGAGGCACGUGUGCCUUUUUGUAUGUACUUUAUGAAUAAGGAUCGGCUAACUCCGUGCCAGCAGCCGCGGUAAUACGGAGGAUCCGAGCGUUAUCCGGAUUUAUUGGGUUUAAAGGGAGCGUAGAUGGGUUGUUAAGUCAGUUGUGAAAGUUUGCGGCUCAACCGUAGAAUUGCAAUUGAUACUGGCAGUCUUGAGUGUAGUUGAGGUAGGCGGAAUUCGUGGUGUAGCGGUGAAAUGCUUAGAUAUCACGAAGAACUCCGAUUGCGAAGGCAGCUUACUAAACUGCCACUGACAUUGAUGCUCGAAAGUGUGGGGAGCAAACAGGAUUAGAUACCCCUGUAGUC